GCCUAACACAUGCAAGUCGAACGGUAACAGGAAGCAGCUUGCUGCUUCGCUGACGAGUGGCGGACGGGUGAGUAAUGUCUGGGAAGCUGCCUGAUGGAGGGGGAUAACUACUGGAAACGGUAGCUAAUACCGCAUAAUGUCGCAAGACCAAAGAGGGGGACCUUCGGGCCUCUUGCCAUCGGAUGUGCCCAGAUGGGAUUAGCUUGUUGGUGGGGUAACGGCUCACCAAGGCGACGAUCCCUAGCUGGUCUGAGAGGAUGACCAGCCACACUGGAACUGAGACACGGUCCAGACUCCUACGGGAGGCAGCAGUGGGGAAUAUUGCACAAUGGGCGCAAGCCUGAUGCAGCCAUGCCGCGUGUAUGAAGAAGGCCUUCGGGUUGUAAAGUACUUUCAGCGGGGAGGAAGGGAGUAAAGUUAAUACCUUUGCUCAUUGACGUUACCCGCAGAAGAAGCACCGGCUAACUCCGUGCCAGCAGCCGCGGUAAUACGGAGGGUGCAAGCGUUAAUCGGAAUUACUGGGCGUAAAGCGCACGCAGGCGGUUUGUUAAGUCAGAUGUGAAAUCCCCGGGCUCAACCUGGGAACUGCAUCUGAUACUGGCAAGCUUGAGUCUCGUAGAGGGGGGUAGAAUUCCAGGUGUAGCGGUGAAAUGCGUAGAGAUCUGGAGGAAUACCGGUGGCGAAGGC
rnacentral:rRNA from 1 species